GUCGAGAAUCUUUCACAAUGGGGGCAACCCUGAUGGAGCGACGCCGCGUGGAGGAUAAGGUCUUCGGAUUGUAAACUCCUGUCAUGCGUGAACAAGGUUGCUUGGUUAAUACCUGGGCAAAUUGAUGGUAACGCAAGAGGAAGAGACGGCUAACUCUGUGCCCGCAGCCGCGGUAAUACAGAGGUCUCAAGCGUUGUUCGGAAUCACUGGGCGUAAAGGGUGCGUAGGUGGCGUGGUAAGUCAGAUGUGAAAGCCCGGGGCUCAACCUCGGAACUGCAUGCGAUACUGCCAUGCUAGAGUACUGGAGAGGUGACUAGAAUUCUCGGUGUAGCAGUGAAAUGCGUAGAUAUCGAGAGGAAUACCAAAGGCGUAGGCAGGUCACUGGACAGUUACUGACACUGAGGCACGAAGGCCAGGGGAGCGAACGGGAUUAGAAACCCGUGUAGUCC
rnacentral:rRNA from 1 species